UGCCGAAUCAACUAGCCCUGAAAAUGGAUGGCGCUGAGCGUGACGCUCAUACCGGGCCGUCGGCGGCAGUGCAGUACGCCCCGACGAGUAGGAGGGACGCCGUGGUGAGCAACGAAGCGACGGCCGAGAGGCCGCGCGGAGCCGCCACGGGCGCAGAUCUUGGUGGUAGUAGCAAAUACUCAAGUGAGAGCCUUGAGGGCCGAGUCGUGGAGAAGGGUUCCAUGUGAACAGCCGUUGCACAUGGGUCAGUCGAUCCUAAGGCCUAGGGAAGUUCCGCUCUGAGCGGCGGCGCGCGCCCGCCUCGCGUGGGUUUGCGCCCCCUGGCCGAAAGGGAAUCGGGUCAAUAUUCCCGAACCUGAAGGUGGAGCCCGCCGCCAUCACGGCGGUCAGAGCUGCAAAGCUAUGGAGCCCGGAGACGCUGGCCGAAGCCCCGGGAAGAGUUGUCUUUUCUUUGUAAGGGGCGGGAUUCCCUGAAACCGACUGGAUCGGAGAUAGGGACCGCGGCCCCGUAGAGCGCCGCGUCUGGAGCGGCGUCCGGUGUUGCAUCGGCCGGCCCUUGAAAAUCCGGGGGACGAGCGUGGACUCUCACCUCAGGUCGUACCCAUAACCGCAGCAGGUCUCCAAGGUGAACAGCCUCUGGUCAAUAGAACAAUGUAGGUAAGGGAAGUCGGCAAGCCGGAUCCGUAACUUCGGGAAAAGGAUUGGCUCUGAGGACUGGGUCGGUCGGGCCGGGGCUGGAAGCAGGCACGGACCCUCAGCGUGACUGGGCGAGCCGGUCCAGAUCGUCUUUCGGGACUUUCGAGACUGGCGAACCCGGACUUUGCAUUGGGUCCGGCUCGUGGACCGUCCUGGCUGCGCGGCAGCCUUGUGUUGUCGCCUCGGCCGGCG
rnacentral:rRNA from 1 species